UAGGGAAUCUUCGGCAAUGGACGAAAGUCUGACCGAGCAACGCCGCGUGAGUGAAGAAGGUUUUCGGAUCGUAAAACUCUGUUGUUAGAGAAGAACAAGGACGUUAGUAACUGAACGUCCCCUGACGGUAUCUAACCAGAAAGCCACGGCUAACUACGUGCCAGCAGCCGCGGUAAUACGUAGGUGGCAAGCGUUGUCCGGAAUUAUUGGGCGUAAAGCGAGCGCAGGCGGUUUCUUAAGUCUGAUGUGAAAGCCCCCGGCUCAACCGGGGAGGGUCAUUGGAAACUGGGAGACUUGAGUGCAGAAGAGGAGAGUGGAAUUCCAUGUGUAGCGGUGAAAUUCGUAGAUAUAUGGAGGAACACCAGUGGCGAAGGCGGCUCUCUGGUCUGUAACUGACGCUGAGGCUCGAAAGCGUGGGGAGCAAACAGG
rnacentral:rRNA from 1 species